rnacentral:rRNA from 1 species
UGAUCCUGGCUCAGAACGAACGCUGGCGGAAGGCUUAACACAUGCAAGUCGAGCGCACUCUUCGGAGUGAGCGGCAGACGGGUGAGUAACGCGUGGGGAUCUACCCUGUACUAGGGAAUAACAGUUAGAAAUGACUGCUAAUACCUUAUACGCCCUUCGGGGGAAAGAUUUAUCGGUAUAGGAUGAACCCGCGUCUGAUUAGCUUGUUGGUGAGGUAAUGGCUCACCAAGGCUACGAUCAGUAGCUGGUCUGAGAGGAUGAUCAGCCACACUGGGACUGAGACACGGCCCAGACUCCUACGGGAGGCAGCAGUGGGGAAUAUUGGACAAUGGACGAAAGUCUGAUCCAGCCAUUCCGCGUGAGUGAUGACGGCCCUAGGGUUGUAAAGCUCUUUCAACGGUGAAGAUAAUGACGGUAACCGUAGAAGAAGCCCCGGCUAACUUCGUGCCAGCAGCCGCGGUAAUACGGAGGGGGCUAGCGUUGUUCGGAAUUACUGGGCGUAAAGCGCACGUAGGCGGAUUGUUAAGUUAGGGGUGAAAUCCCAGGGCUCAACCCUGGAACUGCCUCUAAUACUGGCAAUCUAGAGGUCUAGAGAGGUGAGUGGAAUUCCGAGUGUAGAGGUGAAAUUCGUAGAUAUUCGGAGGAACACCAGUGGCGAAGGCGGCUCACUGGCUAGAUACUGACGCUGAGGUGCGAAAGUGUGGGGAGCAAACAGGAUUAGAUACCCUGGUAGU